AACAGUUGCCAUGGGGAGAGACUUCUUCAACAGCAUCAGAGGCCUCACUAAUACAGCUGGAAUAUUCAAAUUUGGCCAGCAUAAGACUCAGGCACGACGGCUGGAGUUCAAUAGCUGCAUUGCAGCCCGAGGUGACACCAGGAGUGUAACCCACGUCUAUGACAGAAAAGCACGGAGUGGCCUUUAGAGGAUCCCUAUCCCAGCCCAAACCAGCAAACAAUGGCCUUUUGUUAGCAAAAAGAAGACUGUGGGCUCCUGUAACUGCGACCUAAAGUGAGGACCACGCUGGCGCCCGCUGACUUAGGACGCAGGCCUCCUCUGUUCCCGGAGGGCCCCCGCUGUCAGGCUGGCCUCUGGCGAUGUGGAAUCGUGGGUUAGAGACAAGAGUCUUUGCUGCAUACGACACAAUGAGUAAUGUGAGCUUCAGCGUGUUCACACUGGUUCCACUCGUCCCCAGUGCCAGAGGGAUGUCACAUAUCGGCCCAGAUGGAUAAUGAAACUAAAUCACCAAGAGUUUAAGAAAUUUACCGAAAAUCAUCCAGUGAAUUAAUAAUAGAGCCAGGCAUACUGGUUAAU